ACACCAUAGAACUGCAAAUGUC
rnacentral:siRNA from 1 species